rnacentral:rRNA from 1 species
GACGAACGCUGGCGGCGCGCUUAACACAUUCAAGUCGAGCGGUAAGGCUCCUUCGGGAGUACACGAGCGGCGAACGGGUGAGUAACACGUGAGUAAUCUGCCCUUCACUUCGGGAUAACCACCGGAAACGGUGGCUAAUUCCGAAUACGACCAGUCUUCGCCUUAGGUGCUGGUGGAAAGACUUUUCGGUGAAGGAUGUGCUCGCGGCCUAUCAGCUUGUUGGUGGGGUAAUGGCCUACCAAGGCUUCGACGGGUAGCCGGCCUGAGAGGGUGAACGGCCACACUGGGACUGAGACACGGCCCAGACUCCUACGGGAGGCAGCAGUGGGGAAUAUUGGACAAUGGGCGAAAGCCUGAUCCAGCAACGCCGCGUGAGGGAUGACGGCCGUCGGGUUGUAAACCUCUUUCAGUACCGACGAAGCGCCCUGUCGGGUGGUGACGGUAGGUACAGAAGAAGGACCGGCCAACUACGUG